UAGGGAAUCUUCCACAAUGGGCGAAAGCCUGAUGGAGCAACGCCGCGUGUGUGAAGAAGGGUUUCGGCUCGUAAAGCUCUGUUGUUAAAGAAGAACACGUAUGAGAGUAACUGUUCAUACGUUGACGGUUAUUUAACCAGAAAGUCACGGCUAACUACGUGCCAC
rnacentral:rRNA from 1 species